rnacentral:rRNA from 1 species
AUUGAACGCUGGCGGCAGGCUUAACACAUGCAAGUCGAGCGGGGUGAUGGUGCUUGCACUAUCACUUAGCGGCGGGCGGGUGAGUAAUGCUUAGGAAUCUGCCUAUUAGUGGGGGACAACAUCUCGAAAGGGAUGCUAAUACCGCAUACGUCCUACGGGAGAAAGCAGGGGAUCACUUGUGACCUUGCGCUAAUAGAUGAGCCUAAGUCGGAUUAGCUAGGUGGUGGGGUAAGGCCUACCAAGGCGACGAUCUGUAGCGGGUCUGAGAGGAUGAUCCGCCACACUGGGACUGAGACACGGCCCAGACUCCUACGGGAGGCAGCAGUGGGGAAUAUUGGACAAUGGGGGGAACCCUGAUCCAGCCAUGCCGCGUGUGUGAAGAAGGCCUUAUGGUUGUAAAGCACUUUAAGCGAGGAGGAGGCUCUUUUGGUUAAUACCCAAGAUGAGUGGACGUUACUCGCAGAAUAAGCACCGGCUAACUCUGUGCCAGCCGCCGCGGUAA